AUGAACGCUGGCGGCGUGCUUCACCCCUGCAAGUCGAACGGUGAAGCCAAGCUUGCUUGGUGGAUCAGUGGCGAACGGGUGAGUAACACGUGAGCAACCUGCCCUGGACUCUGGGAUAAGCGCUGGAAACGGCGUCUAAUACUGGAUAUGAGCCUCUUCCGCAUGGUGGGGGUUGGAAAGAUUUUUUGGUCUGGGAUGGGCUCGCGGCCUAUCAGCUUGUUGGUGAGGUAAUGGCUCACCAAGGCGUCGACGGGUAGCCGGCCUGAGAGGGUGACCGGCCACACUGGGACUGAGACACGGCCCAGACUCCUACGGGAGGCAGCAGUGGGGAAUAUUGCACAAUGGGCGAAAGCCUGAUGCAGCAACGCCGCGUGAGGGAUGACGGCCUUCGGGUUGUAAACCUCUUUUAGCAGGGAAGAAGCGAAAGUGACGGUACCUGCAGAAAAAGCGCCGGCUAACUACGUG
rnacentral:rRNA from 1 species